rnacentral:lncRNA from 1 species
AAAUUAGUAACAAAGGGCCAACAAAAGUUGCAUAUAAUCACAAUUCACCUACCCUUUUUUCCUCCUAGAUACCAAGAUGGGCAUUUUGAUUUGAAUAGGACCAUAUGUUUUUUUUUUCUUUGUUGCAGAUGCUAAGAGAAUAUAUGGCACAUCCGCACAUGUUUAUAUAUAUAUAUUUGCAAGUUUAUGCCCUGAGGAUUAGAAUUUUUAUAUAUUUGUGGACCAAUUCAGCUUCCACUUUUUUCUCAAGCUCUAAAGCAUAUUAUAUUUUUGGUCAAGAAUCAUGCUCAGAUGAAGGGUGUGGAUGUGAGAUAGCCAAAAGUGGUGGGAGAAUAAUCAGAGAGAUAUGCUUAUUCUUCUCUCUGGAUCGAUUGACGGUAUUUUUCGCAGCCACGACAAAGAGAUCAGACAGGGUUUGAUGGAUCGGAUCGUGCGUGUGUGUGUGUGUGUGUGUAAACAAUAAAAACCCAAUUCUUGAAACAUGUCACUGUACAACAAGAUAUGAUUUGUCUUUGUGAGAUUCUCUCAAUCUCACUUCUGAUCAUGAAGGAAUAAUAACUCCCAUCGGUUUCUCUCGUGUGCCAUUUCCCUUUCAACAAUUUGCCAAGAUUCUUUCUCAUUUACCACUUUUAUUUGAUCAAGGAUUCCGUUGGAAAAUCGCAUAUUGUAAGUAAGAUUAGACAUAUAUAGAGUAAUGUAUAAAGAACAUGAUCAUGAACCAUAUUACUAAUUGAUAAUAAUGUUUGUUUAAAGAUUAUGGAACUUAUUUGGUCCAAGUAAGAUAUGUUGUCACCCCUAGAAUGAACACGAUUCGAGAUGGACCAGAAAAAAUAAUGGUUUUGUAACUAGAAACUCUAUGAAACUAAAUUCCAAACUCAGCAUAUAUUUUGAAUUCAUUUUCUUGAUUCUAAUAUCGCAGCUAACCCACUCUCAUUUUAAAUUGAAUGGUAUAUAGUUUCUCAUAAUUAGUAACUUUGAAGUUUAUUUAUAUCGAUGAAGGUAUGAGUUCCAAAUAUAUAUGAUCUUUCAACCAAACUUAUAUGAACUCCAUGCAGAAAGUUUGGGCGGCUCUUUACGUUUGUGGACAUGAUUUGGGCCUCAUAAUCGUUACAAUUUAGUUUGCACACUUUUGUAUAUUGCCAUAAAAGGUAAGGGCAUCUCCAACCCUGAACCCUUAAAAAAUGUGUAUAAUAAUAUUUUAUAAUAAUAUUUUAUUAUAAAUUACAAUUAAAUAAAAGAGAGAGAGAAAAAUAAAGAAAGAGAAAGAAAAAGAGAGGAAUGCGAGAGAAGAGAGAGACAGAGAAAGAAAAAAAUGUAUGUUUGUCACAACCAAUAUUAUUUUGCCACGUCGUUUAGCAACCGCUCUUUAAAGUCUUUUAAUAAGGAGCGCUCUUUAUCAUUUAAUUACAUUUACAUUUAUUUUAAAUCAACAUAAAUUCUAAUUUUGACUUAAUGAUCCCUCUUUGGAGAUAGUCUAAGGUUUGUUCAAAAA